rnacentral:lncRNA from 1 species
CACUGCUUCUGUUCCCGCUGCAGGACAUGGCCAAGAGUGCUGGGCUUCGCUGUUUCCAGUGCCCUCUGUGCAGAGACAGAGAGGUCUUUAUUCAAGAAAUGGUCAAUUUGGGGAUCCACAUCCCAGCCAGGUUAGUGUCCUUCAGCCAGCUCUCGAGACAUGAGGGCACAAGAGCUGUGCCAGCCCAAGGACUGUCCCGGCAGGCCUGGCCCUUUGCUGCCCGUGAUCAGUGGCCUCAGCUUCACACAUAUGGUGGAACGGCAGUCAGGCUGGAAGAGCAGGGAUGGCUUUGGCUGCUCUUAGUCUCGAGGCACUGGGAGCUCAUCACAUUCCCUCCCUUCUCUGGCAGAAAACCAAAGUGGGAGACCAACCGUGCCUACGCAUCCCUGGGAGUCAGGCACAGGAGCUGCAAUGCCAGCGACUGCCGUUCCCCACACGGCAGGGAUCGGGCAGAGGCAGAGGGGCCCUGGCAGCUGCUCCUCUGCAGCUCCUGUGCUGCACAAGGCACCCACAGACUCUGCUCCAACUUGAGUCCAAGGACAUCUGAAUGGGAGUGCAACGCCUGUGCUGGAGAGGGCACCGGUAAGAGGCAAACGGCCGCGUGCUGCUGGGCUGGGGCCAGGCGAGGCCUUGCUCAAGUCCCUUUGGCCCAUGACGAAUGGGACCCUGUCCCUCCCCAGCGCUGGAGAUCUGUCCCGCUCACCUUGCUGUCUCCCCUUCCAGCCUCCAGCACCAACGUGGACAGCGCUGGCCCCACCACCACCAGCCAGCAGGGACCGGGGCCAUCCCAAGGCCCCAUAGCACAGGAGAGCAGCAGCUCCGGCACCACCAACCAGGCACCGUCGGGACCAGAUCCCAGUUCCCAGGUGCCUGAGCUGCUCUCCAGGCAGGCAGGGCGGGCCCGGACUCGGAGCCGCUCGCCUCUCACACAUCGGGCUGCAGAGAAC